rnacentral:rRNA from 1 species
UGGGGAAUUUUGGACAAUGGGGGAAACCCUGAUCCAGCCAUCCCGCGUGUGCGAUGAAGGCCUUCGGGUUGUAAAGCACUUUUGGCAGGAAAGAAACGUCAUGGGUUAAUACCCCGUGAAACUGACGGUACCUGCAGAAUAAGCACCGGCUAACUACGUGCCAGCAGCCGCGGUAAUACGUAGGGUGCCAGCGUUAAUCGGAAUUACUGGGCGUAAAGCGUGCGCAGGCGGUUCGGAAAGAAAGAUGUGAAAUCCCAGAGCUCAACUUUGGAACUGCAUUUUUAACUACCGGGCUAGAGUGUGUCAGAGGGAGGUGGAAUUCCGCGUGUAGCAGUGAAAUGCGUAGAUAUGCGGAGGAACACCGAUGGCGAAGGCAGCCUCCUGGGAUAACACUGACGCUCAUGCACGAAAGCGUGGGGAGCAAACAGG